AAGUCGUAACAAGGUUUCCGUAGGUGAACCUGCGGAAGGAUCAUUACCGAGUUGAUUCGGGCUCCGGCCCGAUCCUCCCACCCUUUGUGUACCUACCUCUGUUGCUUUGGCGGGCCGCGGUCCUCCGCGGCCGCCCCCCUCCCCGGGGGGUGGCCAGCGCCCGCCAGAGGACCAUCAAACUCCAGUCAGUAAACGAUGCAGUCUGAAAAACAUUUAAUAAACUAAAACUUUCAACAACGGAUCUCUUGGUUCUGGCAUCGAUGAAGAACGCAGCGAAAUGCGAUAAGUAAUGUGAAUUUCAGAAUUCAGUGAAUCAUCGAAUCUUUGAACGCACAUUGCGCCCUUUGGUAUUCCGAAGGGCAUGCCUGUUCGAGCGUCAUUACAACCCUCAAGCUCUGCUUGGUAUUGGGCACCGUCCUUUGCGGGCGCGCCUCAAAGACCUCGGCGGUGGCGUCUUGCCUCAAGCGUAGUAGAACAUACAUCUCGCUUCGGAGCGCAGGGCGUCGCCCUCCGGACGAACCUUCUGAACUUUUCUCAAGGUUGACCUCGGAUCAGGUAGGGAUACCCGCUGAACUUAA
rnacentral:rRNA from 1 species